CCACCCCCGUAACAUCAGAAGGAAUUCCCAGAGCUGACCAAUGAUUCCAGGGGCUGCAUCGUAUGCACACGUGUUCACUGCCCUCCGUAGCUUCAGGUGUGCAGGUAGGUCUAUGUCUGGGAGAGGCUGGGGCACAGGGAAUCAUUAGGAAUAUUCUAUCUAGCCAUAGAGAAUUGCACAAACCAAAGCCAAAAGUAAUGCAGAUUAGGAGGUUAUCGGCCAGGCUUUCUGAUUCUGCUGUGUCUGGCCAGCUCACACUCAGGCUGUCCCUCCAGCCUCAUCUACCCAACCCAGGGAGGAGGAAAAGAGGCCUGUGCAGGAUGCCUGGGCCCUUCCUUUCACAUGGACACAGACAUCUGUGUAGAGCCUCUGGGCCCUUCUCUUCACCUUUGGAAGCUGAGAUCCCCUUGGAGAGGUGCUGUUGGGAGAACUGCUUCCCACUUGUGGUGUUGGAGGGGAGGGAGAGGCGUGGGGACACCUGCUGGGAAGGGGUGAGGGAGGGGUGCUUGGCUGGCUCCAUCACUAGAACAUGCGACUCUUGAUCUCAAGGUCUUGAGUUUGAGCCCCACGUUGGCAGUAGAGAUUACUUGCAAAAAGAAGACAGCGGCACCUGGGUGCCUCAGUUGGUUAAGCGUCUGACUUCGGCUCAGGUCAUGAUCUCAUGGUUCGUGAGUUCAAGCCCAGCAUCCGUCUCUGUGCUGGUAGCAUGGAGCCCGCUUCGGAUUCUCUGUCUUCCUCUCUCUCUCUGCCCCUCCCCCGCUUAUAGUCUCUCUCAAAAAUAAAUAGGUAAAGUAACAAACAUUUUUUAAAAAAUUAGAAGAGGUGAGGGUAGAGAGAGAAGUGACCUCUAUUGCCAGGAGAUCCUAUCCUGCUUCACCUCAGCACCCUGGAUCGUGAGCACUGCCCCAGAUGUGUAUUCAAGACCCCUGCCCGGAAGGCCCCAGCCGAGAGGGGUUCUAGCUCCAGGCUUUCCCUGGAAAGAGACAGAUGGAAGUACUGAAGGAAGAAUGAGGUCAGGGAAGCAUGUCCUGUGAGCCUUGGGAACACAGGGCUGGGGGAGAAGAUGGAAAUAACGCCCCCCCCCCCCUUCUCUCACCUGCAGCAGUUUUCUGCCUUGCAUGGAAACACCCGAACUGGGCUUAGCACACUCUUCCAGGUCUAAUCUUUCAGUACUGGGGGAAGCAGAGCCAGGAUCCAGAUCUCCAGUGUCUAAGACCUACCUCCUGCCCUUGGCCCAGCUCUGGUUUAGAAACAGGGUAGGAUCUGAACCCUGAAGAACCCGGACAAGGUGUGCCCUGAUUUGGGGCCCUCUCUGUGACCUGGGGUUUCUCUGCCCUGGGUUCUGAGAAAGCCCAUCUCCCCCCAGCACCUUCUGAUGUUGGACACAAAUGAAGCCCAAUCAGAGGCACCAGAUGUCUCUUCCCUGUCACUGCACCUGCUCCGGUUCUGUCUCCCCUUGGGCCUAGGAUGCUGCUGUUGCCAUGCCAACAACAACAUUCACUCUCAGAGGGGCUGUUACUAGGCUCCAGGCCCCUUUGUGCUUGCCUUAGUGUCACUCUGACUGUAGGGCUUACGGGAAGCAAAAAUUCAGCCCCUUGGUCCCUUUCUCCGUAGAGGUUGACCUCUCCUGCUCCCCAGCCUCAGUUUAUUCACCUGCGGAAGGCAAUGAUGGGGAUCUCUCUUUGCAGUCCUCAACUGGGUCCUUCACUCUCUCUGGCCCCUGCAGGACCUCAGUAGAAGAUAUCUGUGGCCAACAGUAGUCAUGGAGUUGCUUUGCUCAGAGGUAGCUGUCCCCAGCCCAGGGACCCCAGCCCUUCCUGGACUCUGUGACCAUCCCUAACUCAUGACUGUUGCUGGACCCUGGGACUGCCCCUUCUCUUCCCUGACCUCACGACCUCUUUCAUUUGACCUUUCCUUGACCUGUGACCCUUGAGCUGGUUGCUCCCUGCAGUGGUCCCCUCUCUCCUUUUCCUCCUACCAGUCCUUCUGCUGGUCUUACUGGUCGCCCAGAAUCUGGCGAGCAGUCACCUGACCCCUGCUCCUGUCCAGGUGAGCAGCACACAAAGGAGGAGAGAGCCCCCUGGUGCCUUCACCCCAUGGGAACGGAACCACAGUGUCUCAAGCUGUCCGCAGAUAUGACACAGCUCCUACUGUUUCUGAGAGAUGUGCUACCCGGAGGCCUGGGGAACACCACCGUGAGCUGAUUCAACUCGGUGCUUCCUGCCACGUGGCCCAGGGGAGAUGAAACCAGUCCCAGCCCAGGCCCCCGCUGUCCUCAGUGCUGCAGUGGUUCACUCUGCUGGGCCCUGAAUGAACUGGGCUCUGGCCUAGGCCACCUGACCGUCCCAGAGGACUAGCUGCUUCCCACUUAGCUCCUGGUGACCACCAAGGAGCCAGCCCCCAAGGGAAACGUGAGUGUCUGCUUCCCACCUGCCUGCUCUGGAAGGCAGAGGCAGGAAGAGGGCUGGGGGCAGUGGGACAGCCACAUGGGGCUUCAGCCCUGCCUCCGUCCAGUGUUCGCUCUACAUCCAGUCUGAGCAGAGCUGCCCGCCCCUCAGCCUUCCCUCCACUUUCUCUUACAGGGGAAAAUCUGUGCCACCUUCUCCUGCCAAGGUGGUGACUGCUUCAGAGGGCAGGAAGCUGUGCCCUGAGGGCUGGGACUCCUGUGAGGUGGGCCCUUGGAGUGCUGUCCUUCCUCAGAACUAUAGGCCUUUCAUCUCCCGCUGGGGCACAGUGGGUCAAGCAGCCAAAACUGGCCAGAGCUAGACCUGGCCGGAGCCCGGCUGCCUGGGGCCCAGCAUGCUCGACCCUCUCAGCUCUACAUCAUACCAGAUCCAGGGUGGCAGCUGGGAUCUUCCAAGUCUCCAUGACAUGCUUCCUCGUUUCUGGUCACCCCGUAUGUUCUCUGGGGACUGACCGGCUGAGCUCGUGGAGAGGGAGCUGGGGGUCCCGGGAGGUUCAGCUCAGCCCAUGGCCCACUUUACACUUCCUGCCUCGGUGAGUGGCAGGGGAGGGGCAAGCAGAGUAUGAAUGGUCCCAUUUCUUCUUGCAGCUGAACUGGUCCAGCUCAGGCUUUGUUGCGGCCUAUGUGGCUGGGACCCCUGGCUGUCGCGGGACAGUGGCUCAGCCCUGCUACCAGGAGUCCUGCCAAGCCUCAGCUUCUCCAGCUGGAUGGGAAUCUUCACUUCAACCCGGUUGCCCCAAGGGUCACUAGGAGGGCCCCUCCACAGGGCCACGGCUGUGGCCACGCUGCUGUUCCUCCACUCUGCCCUGCUCCCUUCCUGCUCCCCUAGCUGGGCCCAGAAGAACUGGGGAGCAGCAGCUAGGGAGACUCUGUAGGCCCUGCAAGCCCCCAGUCCCACCCCCAGCUCUGACUCCUACAGCUGUAUCUUUCGUGACAGGGAUUUAUCAGGUCCAUAGCAUGGGCUCCAGGAUCCUCACUUCUCCUUCCCAGGGCCUCGGCCUGAACUUGGUGCCCUCCAAGGGGGCAGGGCUUCAGCACUAAUCCCAAGGAGAGGCUAGGGUUCAUCUGGAAAAACAGAACUUCCUUCCCGACCCCCCACUGAAUGGGAAGACCCCAAAGUUGUCAGGGUAGUUAUCUGGGGAGAAAGAGUUCCAGUAGAGGCCAGAGCGGGCCAGCCUGGAUGAAAGGAGUUGAGGCUGGAAUAGAGGAGAAAAUGAAAAUGCAUUAUUUUUUUCCCCGUAAGGCAGACAUGGCCAUCUUCCUUCAGGAUGCUAGGCGGGGAGCUCUGGCCCCAUGACUUGGAGGGCUGGGGUGACAGAGCAGUCAUCAGGAAGGGGGAGCUCAGAGUACCCCAGGACCUAAGGGGUUAAUGGAGGCGGCGAGCCCCCCAGCGCCCCCGUGAUUGGUGUGGGCAUGCUGGGACUUGCAGGCUGGCUGACCAGCCUGUGGCGCACGGGCUCCUGGGAAACGUAGUCACUAGCCGGCCAGGGCCGCGGUGUCCUGGUGUCCUACGUCCUCAGCGGUGACAGCUCAGGAGGGCGUGUCUGCUCAGCAGGGACAAGCAUGGACCAGUCUGUGGCGAUCCAGGAGACCCUGGCUGAGGGGGAAUAUUGCAUCAUC